rnacentral:lncRNA from 1 species
UCCAUGCCAACUCUUUCCACCACGGAAGGAGGGAGAUCUGAUUUCUCAGCUGUGUUCAGACUCAUUGGCUCACACAGCUCGUUACAGGUGGUGGUUUGUGAAAGCCCUACAACUUCCUCAGAACUAACAUGGAGAUUAAUCCCCUUAGCACCAUCUUCUGCUAGCACAUUAUCCGCUGGAGCAUUCUCCUCGACAUGGAGAUUAACCCCCUUAGCACCAUCUUCUGCUAGCGCAUUAUCCGCUGGAGCAGUCUCCUCAACUUUAACAUAAUCUGAACUUGAAUUCUCUAAUUUAGGUGCUGGAUAGGACUCCCCUAGCCGACCAGAAAACGAACAUUU